rnacentral:lncRNA from 10 species
AUCAGGUUCAACGCAGUGACUGCUCAGUAGAAGCCAUGGCUCGCAGACACUGCUUCUCCUACUGGUUACUGGUAUGCUGGUUGGUGGUAACUGUGGCAGAAGCACUGUCCACUUUCUAUCUCCAGCAGCAUAUUAAUUUGCACAUGCCAGGAUGGUCUCGAUCUCCUGACCUCGUGAUCUGCCAGCCUCGGCCUCCCAAAGUUCUGGGAUUACAGGCAUGAGCCACAGCGCCCG